rnacentral:lncRNA from 10 species
GCGCCUGUAAUCCCAGCUACUCAGGAGGCUGAGGCAAAGAAUUGCUUAAAGCCAGGAGGUGGAGGUUGCAGUGAGCCGAGAUCAUGCCACUGCACUCCAGCCUGGGCGACAGAGCAAGACUCCGUCUCAAAAAAAAAUUAUUUGUGGGUUCACUGUAUUAUUCGCUCUGCAUCUUUCUAAGAUACUGUGUCAUUCUGUCACCCAGGCUGUAGUGCAAUGGUACAGUCACGGCUCAUUGCAGCCUCAACCUCUCAGGCUCAAGCAAUUCUCGCACCUCAGCCUCCCAAAGUGCUGGGACCACAGGUGUAUGGCACCCUGCGUGGCCUCCCUCUGAAUCUUUGUGUGUGCAUUUCUUUCUUGCUUUUU